UACGAAGGGUGCAAACGUUGCUCGGAAUUAUUGGGCGUAAAGAGCUCGUAGGCGGUCUGUCGCGUCGAAUGUGAAAACCCGGGGCUCAACCCCGGGCCUGCAUUCGAUACGGGCAGACUAGAGUUCGGUAGGGGAGUCUGGAAUUCCUGGUGUAGCGGUGAAAUGCGCAGAUAUCAGGAGGAACACCGGUGGCGAAGGCGGGACUCUGGGCCGAUACUGACGCUGAGGAGCGAAAGCGUGGGGAGCGAACAGG
rnacentral:rRNA from 1 species